rnacentral:rRNA from 1 species
GGCGUGCCUAACACAUGCAAGUCGUACGAGAAAGUUGGCUUCGGCUGAUGAGUAAAGUGGCGCACGGGUGAGUAACGCGUGGAUAAUCUGCCUUUUAGUUGGGAAUAACGUACCGAAAGUGCGCUAAUACCGGAUAAUACUGCAUAACUACUGUUGUGUAGUCAAAGAAGGCCUCUGUUUACAAGCUUUUGCUGAAAGAUGAGUCCGCGUACCAUUAGCUAGUUGGUAGGGUAAUGGCCUACCAAGGCUACGAUGGUUAGCUGGUCUGAGAGGAUGAUCAGCCACACUGGAACUGAGACACGGUCCAGACUCCUACGGGAGGCAGCAGUGAGGAAUAUUGCGCAAUGGGGGCAACCCUGACGCAGCAACGCCGCGUGAGUGAGGAAGGUUUUCGGACCGUAAAGCUCUGUCGAGUGGGAAGAAAUGUAUUGUGGCUAAUAUCCAUGAUAUUUGACGGUACCGCUAAAGGAAGCACCGGCUAACUACGUGCCAGCAGCCGCGGUAA